rnacentral:rRNA from 1 species
UUUAAGUGGAGAGUUUGAUCCUGGCUCAGAACGAACGCUGGCGGCGUGCCUAACACAUGCAAGUCGAACGAGAAACUUCCCGCUUGCGGGAGGGAGUAAAGUGGCGCACGGGUGAGUAACGCGUGGGUAACCUGCCCUUGAAUCUGGGAUAACUCUGCGAAAGCGGUGCUAAUACCGGAUAUGGUUUCGAAGACUUCGGUUUUCGGGAUUAAAGGUGACCUCUUCAUGAAAGUUGCCGUUCAAGGAUGGGCCCGCGUACCAUUAGCUUGUUGGUAGGGUAAUGGCCUACCAAGGCUACGAUGGUUAGCUGGUCUGAGAGGAUGAUCAGCCACACUGGAACUGAAACACGGUCCAGACUCCUACGGGAGGCAGCAGUGAGGAGUUUUGCGCAAUGGGGGAAACCCUGACGCAGCAACGCCGCGUGAGCGAAGAAGGCCUUUGGGUCGUAAAGCUCUGUCAAGUGGGAAAAACGUCUACCGGUCAAUAGCCGGCAGAUCUGAUGGUACCAUUGAAGGAAGCACCGGCUAACUCCGUGCCAGCAGCCGCGGUAAUACGGAGGGUGCAAGCGUUGUUCGGAAUUAUUGGGCGUAAAGAGCGUGUAGGCGGUUUAGUAAGUCAGAUGUGAAAGCCCUGGGCUCAACCCGGGAAGUGCAUUUGAAACUGCUUUACUUGAGUAUGGGAGAGGAGAGUGGAAUUCCUGGUGUAGAGGUGAAAUUCGUAGAUAUCAGGAGGAACAUCUGUGGCGAAGGCGACUCUCUGGACCAAUACUGACGCUGAGACGCGAAAGCGUGGGUAGCAAACAGGAUUAGAUACCCUGGUAGUCCACGCCGUAAACGAUGAGAACUAGGUGUAGCGGGUAUUGACCCCUGCUGUGCCGAAGUUAACGCAUUAAGUUCUCCGCCUGGGGAGUACGGCCGCAAGGCUAAAACUCAAAGGAAUUGACGGGG